GACGAACGCUGGCGGCGUGCUUAACACAUGCAAGUCGAACGAUGAAGAAAAGAAUCGAAGCUUCGGCAGAAAUUCAUUUCGGAUUAGUGGCAGACGGGUGAGUAACGCGUGAGCAACCUACCUCUUACAAAGGGAUAGCCUCGGGAAACCGGGAUUAAUACCAUAUAACAUUGCGACGAAGCAUUUCGAUGCAAUCAAAGCUACGGCGGUAAGAGAUGGGCUCGCGUCCCAUUAACCGGAUGGUGAGGUAACGGCUCACCAUAGUGACGAUGGGUAACCGGCCUGAGAGGGUGAACGGUGACACUGGAACUGAGACACGGUCCAGACUCCUACGGGAGGCAGCAGUGGGGAAUAUUGCACAAUGGAGGGAACUCUGAUGCAGCGACGCCGCGUGAGUGAUGAAGGAAUUCGUUUCGUAAAACUCUGUUCUAUGGGAAGAAAAGGACUGUACCAUAGGAGAAAGCUCCGGCUAAAUACGUG
rnacentral:rRNA from 1 species